rnacentral:misc_RNA from 1 species
UCUCCGUUGGCGAACCAGCGGAGGGAUCAUUACAGGACUCGCAAGACUCCUACAACCCUGUGAACUUAACUAUAAGCACGUUGCUUCGGCGGGUGUCUCGGAGGGGGUUCUCCCUCCCCGAGACGCUAAACCCGCCGGCAGCCUACUAUACUCUGUCUCUUUGCGUUGGCAUCUCGAGUACAAUCAAACAAGUUAAAACUUUCAACAACGGAUCUCUUGGUUCUG